UGGGGAAUAUUGGACAAUGGGCGCAAGCCUGAUCCAGCCAUGCCGCGUGAGUGAUGAAGGCCUUAGGGUUGUAAAGCUCUUUUACCUGGGAAGCGGUACCAGGAGAAUAAGCCCCGGCUAACUUCGUGCCAGCAGCCGCGGUAAUACGAAGGGGGCUAGCGUUGUUCGGAUUUACUGGGCGUAAAGCGCACGUAGGCGGAUCUUUAAGUCAGGGGUGAAAUCCCGAGGCUCAACCUCGGAACUGCCUUUGAUACUGGGGAUCUCGAGUCCGGGAGAGGUGAGUGGAACUGCGAGUGUAGAGGUGAAAUUCGUAGAUAUUCGCAAGAACACCAGUGGCGAAGGCGGCUCACUGGCCCGGUACUGACGCUGAGGUGCGAAGGUGUGGGUAGCAAACAGGAUUAGAUACCCCUGUAGU
rnacentral:rRNA from 1 species